rnacentral:rRNA from 1 species
GCAACUCGCCUGCAUGAAGUCGGAGUUGCUAGUAAUCGCAGAUCAGAAUGCUGCGGUGAAUGCGUUCCCGGGUCUUGUACACACCGCCCGUCACACCAUGGAAGUUGGGGGCGCCCGAAGUCGGCCGGGAGAUAGGCUGCCUAAGGUGAAACCAAUGACUGGGGUGAAGUCGUAACAAGGUAGC